rnacentral:rRNA from 1 species
CAACCUGCCUUCAGGAUGGGGACAACAGACGGAAACGACUGCUAAUACCGAAUAAGUUCCAAGAGCCGCAUGGCCCAUGGAAGAAAAGGUGGCCUCUACCUGUAAGCUAUCGCCUGAAGAGGGGUUUGCGUCUGAUUAGCUGGUUGGAGGGGUAACGGCCCACCAAGGCGACGAUCAGUAGCCGGUCUGAGAGGAUGAACGGCCACACUGGAACUGAGACACGGUCCAGACUCCUACGGGAGGCAGCAUG